GAUGAACGCUGGCGGCGUGCCUAAUACAUGCAAGUCGAGCGAACGGACGAGAAGCUUGCUUCUCUGAUGUUAGCGGCGGACGGGUGAGUAACACGUGGAUAACCUACCUAUAAGACUGGGAUAACUUCGGGAAACCGGAGCUAAUACCGGAUAAUAUUUUGAACCGCAUGGUUCAAAAGUGAAAGACGGUCUUGCUGUCACUUAUAGAUGGAUCCGCGCUGCAUUAGAUAGUUGGUAAGGUAACGGCUUACCAAGGCAACGAUGCAUAGCCGACCUGAGAGGGUGAUCGGCCACACUGGAACUGAGCCACGGUCCAGACUCCUACGGGAGGCAGCAGUAGGGAAUCUUCCGCAAUGGGCGAAAGCCUGACGGAGCAACGCCGCGUGAGUGAUGAAGGUCUUCGGAUCGUAAAACUCUGUUAUUAGGGAAGAACAUAUGUGUAAGUAACUGUGCACAUCUUGACGGUACCUAAUCAGAAAGCCACGGCUAACUACGUG
rnacentral:rRNA from 1 species